GGUCUUGGAGAGUGGUAUAUAUGACAGUGAUGCACUGCAGUAAUGAUGAUUACUACAGUUGCAUGGUGGGAAUCCUGUACUUACUUAUCGAGCCUAAACUAUUUGCUCAUGUCAUUGUUGCAUUGGUUUUAUGAAUCAAUGUCAAGGAAGGAACUCGAGUGGUGCAGUUGCAUGGUACUGCUUUUCAUAUUCCCCUGCACCCAUUGUUCAUCACAAGCCACACCAGAUCAGCAGCUUUUCUGGGAUUUACCUAAUUUUGAUUUCAGUAUCUUGUAUGAGAAAUCAAUGGCAUGCAUGCAUUGAAGCUCCACUUUGUGUCACGCUAACCAUAAUAUAGUGCAGCUAGUCACCAGGUUGUUUAAUUGGUGAUCGAAGAAGAAAACCUGGAACAUUAAGUAUUCAUAAGCUUCCUGUCAGAUAUAGAUUGACCUGGUAGUAGGGCUGGUAGCCAUGCCAUGUGGUCCCCUUCUUCUCAGGAUUUUGAAACCCUAAUUUUGAAGGAGUUGAUAAAGUUCUUUGUUAAAUAAGGGCAGCAUUGUAUAUGUUUUCCAAAUUGUUUUUUCAAAUCAAUGUAAGCAUACGAGGCAUUACUCUUUGAUA